GCCAAGGUAGCUCAGUUGGUUAGAGCGCCAGACUCAUAAUCUGGAGGUCGAGGGUUCAAGUCCCUCCCUUGGCA
rnacentral:tRNA from 1 species